CAGAUACUCCCUCCGUUCGGAAUUACUUGUCGCGGAAAUGGAUGUAUCUAGACGUAUUUUAGUUCUAGAUACAUCUAUUUUCGAGACAAGUAAUUCCAAACGGAGGGAGUAUAUU
rnacentral:pre_miRNA from 1 species